rnacentral:rRNA from 1 species
AUGAAUUUAAAACUACAUUUGCCAUCCCUGGACAACUGUUGUUGCCAUCAGUGGACACUUGCAGUUGCCAUGGAGAAACAACUGCAGUUGCCAUGCCAGAGCAACUACAGUUGUCAUGUCAUCGCAACUGCAGUUGCCAUGGAGGAACAACUGCGGUUGCCAUGCCGAUGCAACUAUAGUUGCCAUGCCAGUAAAACUGCAGUUGCCACAUCAGGGGCGACUGCAGUUGUCGUGCUAGCACAAACUGCAAAUUGCCAUGAAUUGACCAACCACUAUAUGCUUACAGCGUAUUACGCUGGUGGUGACACGGCAAACGUCCCGUGGCAAGCUUCACAAAUUGCAGGUGGAGCACGACAUUUUGGUGUCACAGACCACACAAGAUGGCCAAAUGCAGCACAACAAGGUAAGGAAAAAAAUUGA